AACGAACGCUGGCGGCGUGCCUAACACAUGCAAGUCGAACGAGAAAGGGGCUUCGGCUCCGAGUAAAGUGGCGCACGGGUGAGUAACACGUAGGUAACCUGCCUCUAAGAUUGGGAUAACCUGUCGAAAGACGAGCUAAUACCAAAUAAGACCACAGUCUCUUCGGGGACAGGGGUCAAAGAUAGCCUCUAUUUAUAAGCUAUCGCUGAGAGAUGGGCCUGCGUACCAUUAGCUAGUUGGUGAGGUAACGGCUCACCAAGGCAAAGAUGGUUAGCUGGUCUGAGAGGAUGAUCAGCCACACUGGAACUGAGACACGGUCCAGACUCCUACGGGAGGCAGCAGUGGGGAAUAUUGCGCAAUGGGCGAAAGCCUGACGCAGCAACGCCGCGUGAGUGAUGAAGGCCUUCGGGUCGUAAAGCUCUGUCGGAGGGAACGAAUGCUCCUGAGGUUAACAGCCUCGGGAUGUGACGGUACCCUCAAAGGAAGCACCGGCUAACUCUGUGCCAGCCGCCGCGGUAAAAC
rnacentral:rRNA from 1 species